AUGUACAAUUCUUAACAAAUUAAGUAAUUUAAUUGAUCUUAAACAGAGGAUGUGAAGUUAUCCUAGGUUAAAUUGGUCUUGUUUGGGUGGAAUGUGACCGAGGCUGCUAAAAUCAUAGCUAUGAAUUCGUAGGUUACGGCUAAAAUACUCUUUUACAAUUACAAGCAAAAUCACUCGUUUGUAAGCUCAAAGUACAUAUCUAUGUAAUUGUAAAUGCUAAGUUUGUAUCUUUCAUAAACUAUAUAUGUUAAAUGUUUUCCAGAUUUUGGAUUCCUUUUUGAGCAAGUUAAUUGAAGAUGCCGUGUCCAAGCAAGCGGUCCAGGGCGGCCAAGAAGAGAAAGGCUGACUUGAGGUCCACUGAGGUGCCGAGCAAGAGGUCCCCGGUGGCGCAGGUUGACUUGGUCUCCUGUGACGAGGUUGGGCGUCCUCGUAAAAAAGCCCACACACAGUCUUCGGACGCUAUACAGUCUUCGGACUGCCAGUUACAAUGCCAGUUACAAUGCCAGUUACAAUGCCAGUUACAGUCUUCGGACGCAAUACAAGCAAACUCUACCAACUCUCAAACAAACUCUACCAACUCUCUGAAUAUGUGCCAUGACUCUGUUGUAAACUCAUUGUCAAGUAAUGUGAAAGAAAAUAAUGCUACUGAUUGUUGUUCUUUGAAUGAAUCUGUUGACUUCCCAGAGAGAUCUGUGCUGAUGGGGUCCUUUCAUCAAGGCGAUUCACGGUUUGGAAAUGUGCGCAACAAGCAGUGUGGUGCCAUCAGCUUGACCGCUGUUUUGAAGUCCAAGAUGAAGAACGUGUGGAGCUGGGAAACUGGAGAUCUUGAUGAUGUUUUGAUUAAGGGAGCUGUUCUAUACAGGUCAAUGAGCGUACAGGGUAAAAUAAGAGACCAUGGAAGGGGUUACAUUGCUGUGUCUGAAUUACCUAGGCAAUAUGAAGUGUGGAAUUGUGAUUUUGCAAUAAACUUUGCUGAAUCUUA